UUUAUCUAGUCUUUACUGUAGCUGAAGAAUGCAUGGGUCUUUGGCUGUGCGGAUUCUAAAGUUAACCGCAUGACGAAUCACUUCGCAUAAAUUGAAACGCUACGUUGCAUGCACCACGUCUGGUUAGAGAAAAGAGGCCCAAAAGGGGGGCAGAAGGGGGCGCAGAAGGGCAAAGAAAGAGGGUGGGCGAGGUGGGGUGAUUGGGGGAAGAUUUGUAGCUGUUGCGGCUCCUUCAGCGAAAUGUGCGUUGCCGCCGCCUCAUAAUUCUUCAAAUGCGUGUGGUGGAUCUCAAGGGGUUAAGAAAGGAAAAACAGGAAAAAAAAGUCGUUGCUAUGCCGCUAUUUAAGAUUAAGCAUUACAAUUAUGUAAUGAUAUUCCAAAAAUCACAGCAUACUUUUCGGGGUCUGUGAAUCUAAAGCUAAGUACCGCCUGGAAAAUAAUUUUCUAUAAUAUUUUCAAACACAAAUGUUUAAAUACCAUUGUUAGUGGUGAUUAUGAUUUUAGAUUUGGUAAUAUUCCUAACAAAUUGACAUUUUUCCAGUGUAAGGGGGCUGACGCGUUGAUGAAAGCCUCUGUCUUCUGUCCCUGUCUCCGGUUUUCCGUCUCCGUCGCUGCUUGCGUCGCCGUUGCAGUCGCAGCUCGUUAAAUCGAGCGGCAGACCCCUGCGGACCCCCUUCGGCCCACGCCCAUGGUGCUUAACCCGCAACUGCUAACAAUUUAUUUGCGUGCAUGCUAAUUACGCAUACACGUAUGCACACACUCACCGCCUUUCGUGUGUGUGCGUUUUUUAUCAAGAUUACUAUGAUGAUUCUCCUGCAGCUUUUCUUUUGUGCAAGAGUGCUUAACCCCAUAGGGUUUUUCUAGAAAGGGUAACGCUUCAUUCAUGAAUCGCUUCUUUCAGCCGAAGAAUGGAUACGUUAAUUGAUGGCACUGCAUACGUUUUGCGAACAGUUUAUGCGGUUUGUUUAAAAGUUAUUAUCAACUCACGUAUUCACUGUACUAUUUAUUGCACUUCGUAUUGAAUUUCUUGUGUAUCAAGAAAAUGUUCAACUCAAGUUCACAUAACUAAGUUCUGCCCAAAAAUGCAAUAUCCCACGUAUUCCUCAUUACUUCUCAGCUUUUUGAGUGAAAAUGUGUAAUUAUUUCUGUCUCUUGCGGUUCGUCGUUUACUUCGCCUUUCUGCACUUCUGCCUUCUGUCUGCCUGAUUUUACCUUUCGCACCGUUUUGUCGUCGAGUGGAGUGCACUUGAAAAUGCGCCUGCGACUGCAGGGGCAGUUGCAAUUGCAAUUGCAGUGCGGCCAGUAAGUUUUCCCUUUCUUCAGCCAUUUCUCCCGCAGAAGAAUCACGCACUGGCCGUAAAAAGGGCUUACCUUCCCCGCAACGGUCGCAGUCACAGACGAGUAGUUCAUAAAUCCAUACUUUAAUUGGAUUAAGAGCGGCUCGACUGGGCUCGGCUCGAUGCACUUGGAGAAACAAGGGAAUACAUUUAAAUAUUUAUGGAAAUAUUAAUAGGUAAAUCUCUGCAUAAAUAUACUUUAUUGAAUAGGAAAACUGUUUUUCUUGUCCAGCUUAAACUUCUUUGGUUUUUUCUUUAAAUACUUUGUAAUUUCUCUAAGUGCACUUUAAAGAGUUAGGCAGGGUGUUCAUUGCCCGGGUCGUUGUCUCAUUGUUGUCAUAGGAGCAGCCGCCACGUCUGACAAUCUCCUCGUAGCCCGGCCAAUGUUAAAGCCAGAGAGCCCGACCCCGACCCCGACCACGACCACGACCAUGUGAUAUAGAUGAUUGGGAUUGGAGUAGUGGAGUUGCGAGACAAGCCCACGAGGCGGGGACAACUUUAUUAUCUAAUUUGAGCGACAUGUCAAUGCGGAUUAGGGUCACACGUAUCGCCGAGCAAUGCAAAGCCGACAAUUGAGAUUACGGAGUGGCAGCUCGAGUUGCUCGGGAUCCAGCUGCACCUACCUGAAAAUCGUUAGAGAAUCCAUGAGCCCAGGGCUUGCAUCUGAAUUUAUCUGCGGUGCAUCCGGUGCAGGGUUUCUGCAUUCGCCUGCGCCGCAAAGAGUGGAAGGGUCUGCUCCUCUGCCGGCGUGGGCAGGCCCAGAAAGCCAUUGUCUGGGUCUCUUUUUAAUGAACCCUUGAACUUGACACGGCCGCCAGUCUGCAGUCUCCACUCUCCAGUCCAUGUUGCAUUGUCUGGCCGGACAUAAACAAUAAUUAAUGUGCAGCAGUGACGGGGCAGCAGUGCCAAAAGGCCGUGACCAAAAUGCAGGCGACCACAGGGUCCUGGGCAGGAACAGAUAUGGCCAGGGCGAAACCAAAACCGAAGGCAAAGCCAGCAACAGAAACAGACUGCAGAAUUCGGACCACACUUGGAAAAUCACUUUGUGACUACUGAAGCUUGGUAUGCUAAUAUAUUUUGGUGAUUUUAAGUUAUAUAGCCAGGAAAAGGAACAUUAUUUUGGCUAAGUGCAUCAGUGAACGGCCUGUCUGUGUUGUGGUUUCGCCUCCUGGCCAUUCCACAACUUUUGGCCCAGAGGUUCCUCGGUUUCCCUUUUUCGAGUGGGUCAGUGGUUAGUGGGCUUCAUUCGAGAGGACUGCUGCCCUCGGUUGCUGGCAUCUUUGGCAGUCGUCGAAACAUUCGACAUUAGAGAGCUGCACACUUAAGAUUUAUGCCCGGAAAGAGGGGUAUCUGGAUCUGUUCCACCUUUCAUCAUCCUUCAGUUUGAGUGCCGGAGUCGUGUCAUGGCAGGCGAGGACAUAAAAUGAAGCAUUUGCGCCUCUAAAAUGGGAUUGGAUGUAUACGCUUAACCCCAGAAAGGCUAUCUACUUUAAAUUUGAUAUAGAAAGCAAGGAAAAUUUGUUGCUAUAUAAUAAUGAAUGUUUUAAUAAAUACACAACUAUUUACCCAUA